AAGUCGUAACAAGGUUUCCGUAGGUGAACCUGCGGAAGGAUCAUUAAAGAAAUAAACCUGGCUUGAAUUGUAGCUGACUCUCUCUAGAGUAUGUGCACAUUCUUGUCGUCUUUAUAUCUCCACCUGUGCACCUUUUGUAGAUCAAUGGAUGCGAACUUUCUGAGGCUUGAGCAAAGCCUUCAGGUUAUAUGAGGAUCGACGGAGUCGCACAGAUACCGGCUUUCCUUGGAUGCAUCUUCAUUGUCUAUGUCUUUUUUCAUAUACACCAAUGAAUGUAAUAGAAUGAAUUUAAAUGGGUCUUUGUUACCUAUAAUAAAGUUUAUACAACUUUCAGCAACGGAUCUCUUGGCUCUC
rnacentral:misc_RNA from 1 species